rnacentral:sRNA from 1 species
GAGGGAAAUUUGAUAUAGGCAUGGGAGAAAUGACAACAAUGCGAGAUAUGGAAUAUCGG